GCCUCCAUAGCUCAGCGGUCAGAGCGCCACUCCCGUAAAGUGGAAGUCCCGGGUUCAAUUCCCGGUGGAGGCU
rnacentral:tRNA from 1 species